AACGAGGCCGACCUGCGGCUGAGUUACCUGCGGAGGGAUCAUUAUAGAGUUUUCUAAACUCCCAACCCAUGUGAACUUACCUUUUGUUGCCUCGGCAGAAGUUAUAGGUCUUCUUAUAGCUGCUGCCGGUGGACCAUUAAACUCUUGUUAUUUUAUGUAAUCUGAGCGUCUUAUUUUAAUAAGUCAAAACUUUUAACAACGGAUCU
rnacentral:misc_RNA from 1 species